GACGAACGCUGGCGGCGUGCUUAACACAUGCAAGUCGAACGGAAAGGCCCUGCUUGCAGGGUGCUCGAGUGGCGAACGGGUGAGUAACACGUGGGUGAUCUGCCCCUUACUUUGGGAUAAGCCUGGGAAACUGGGUCUAAUACUGGAUAGGACCAUGCUGUAGGUGGUGUGGUGGAAAGAUUUUUUCGGUAAGGGAUGGGCUCGCGGCCUAUCAGCUUGUUGGUGGGGUAAUGGCCUACCAAGGCGUCGACGGGUAGCCGGCCUGAGAGGGUGGACGGCCACAUUGGGACUGAGAUACGGCCCAGACUCCUACGGGAGGCAGCAGUGGGGAAUAUUGCACAAUGGGCGCAAGCCUGAUGCAGCGACGCCGCGUGGGGGAUGACGGCCUUCGGGUUGUAAACUCCUUUCAGCCAUGACGAAGCCUCUUUUGGGGUGACGGUAGUGGUAGAAGAAGCACCGGCUAACUACGUG
rnacentral:rRNA from 1 species